rnacentral:tRNA from 2 species
AGUACUGUAGCACAAUGGCUAGUGUGUCCGACUGUCUCUCGGAAAGUUGCGGGUUCAAAUCCCGUCAGUACUGCAA